CGAAUUCCGAGACCGCAGCGCACGAAAUUAGCACUCCAGCGCAUGCGAAAUCCGCAUUCAGUAAACUGCAAAAAUGUGAUAGAAAUAAUUUUAUUCAAUCUCAGAGAGUUCCCCAUUGGAGACUGAUCGCAACGACUAGGAAGUACAAAGUUAUGGAGCGGCGAUCUGAACUUUUCAUCAGCAAUAAAAGUUAUUCAUAGGAUCAUGGCGUGAUCUGCACCCAAAUGGAAGCCAGGCAUU